GACGAACGCUGGCGGCGUGCCUAACACAUGCAAGUCGAGCGGAGUCAGUAAGAGGAAGUUUUCGGAUGGAAUCUUAUUGAUUUAGCGGCGGACGGGUGAGUAACGCGUGAGCGACCAACCUUGCACAGGGGGAUAACGGACCGAAAGGUUCACUAAUACCGCAUGAGACCACGGUGUGGCAUGACACAGGGGUCAAAGGAGUAAUCCGUUGCAAGACGGGCUCGCGUCCGAUGAGUUAGUUGGAGGGGUAACGGCCCACCAAGCCUAUGAUCGGUAGCCGACCUGAGAGGGUGAUCGGCCACAUUGGAACUGAGAUACGGUCCAAACUCCUACGGGAGGCAGCAGUGGGGAAUAUUGGGCAAUGGGGGAAACCCUGACCCAGCAACGCCGCGUGAAGGAAGAAGGUUUUCGGAUUGUAAACUUCUGUCCUUGGUGAAGAGAAGAAGACGGUAGCCAAGGAGGAAGCCCCGGCUAANUANGUGCCAGCCGCCGCCGUAA
rnacentral:rRNA from 1 species